AUGACUUCCAAGACCAAGAGAGAGCAGGCAGCCCCGAGAAGGGUGACACUUACCGGGUCCGAGGAGAGGAGUAGAAAAACUACGGCUCUUCCGCCGCUGUCACCGCCAUCCUCGGCGCGACUGGCCUCGUUGGGAUCUGCCUGGGAGAAUCCACCGCCAUCCGCCACCAUGGUGAACUUCACAGUAGACCAGAUCCGGGCCAUCAUGGACAAGAAGGCCAACAUCCGCAACAUGUCUGUCAUUGCCCACGUGGACCAUGGCAAGUCCACACUGACAGACUCCCUGGUGCAAAGGCUGGCAUCACUGCUUCUGCCGGGGCUGGGGAGACCCGCUUCACUGACACCCGGAAGGAUGAACAGGAACGCUGCAUCACCAAGUCCACCACCAUCUCCCUUUUCUACGAGCUCUCAGAGAAUGACUUGAACUUUAUCAAGCAGAGCAAAGAUGGCUCUGGCUUCCUAAUCAACCUCAUUGACUCCCCGGGCACGUGGACUUCUCCUCAGAGGUGACAGCCGCCUUCCGUGUCACUGAUGGGGCCCUGGUGGUGCUGGACUGUGUGUCAGGGGCGUGUGUGCAGACGGAGACGGUGCUGCGGCAGGCCAUCGCUGAGCGCAUCAAACCAGUGCUGAUGAGGAGCAAGAUGGACCGCGCGCUGCUGGAGCUGCAGCUGGAGCCCGAGGAGCUCUACCAGACUUCCAGCGCAUCGUGGAGAACGUCAAUGUCAUCAUCUCCACCUAUGGCGAGGGCGAGAGCGGCCCCAUAGGCAACAUCACGAUUGACCCUGUCCUCGGCACUGUCGGCUUUGGGUCUGGCUUGCACGGUUGGGCCUUCACCCUGAAGCAGUUUGCAGAGAUGCAUGUGGCCAAGUUUGCUGCCAAGGGUGAGGGCCAACUGGGGCCGUCAAU